GGGUCGCUAGCUCAGUUGGUAGAGCACCGGCCUUUUAAGCCGAGGGUCAUAGGUUCGAGUCCUAUGCGACCCA
rnacentral:tRNA from 1 species